rnacentral:rRNA from 1 species
AGAGUUUGAUCCUGGCUCAGGAUGAACGCUGGCGGCGUGCUUAACACAUGCAAGUCGAACGAAGAUGCCGGAGUGCUUGCACUUUGGCAGACUGAGUGGCGGACGGGUGAGUAACGCGUGGGUAACCUGCCUUAUACAGGGGGAUAACAGUUGGAAACGACUGCUAAUACCGCAUAAGCGCACGGUAUCGCAUGAUACAGUGUGAAAAACUCCGGUGGUAUAAGAUGGACCCGCGUCUGAUUUGCUUGUUGGCGAGGUAACGGCCCACCAAGUCUGCGAUGGGUAGCCGAUCUGAGAGGAUGACCGGCCACAUUGGAACUGAGAAACGGUCCAGACUCCUACGGGAGGCAGCAGUGGGGAAUAUUGGGCAAUGGGCGCAAGCCUGACCCAGCAACGCCGCGUGAGGGAAGAAGGUUUUCGGAUCGUAAACCUCUGUUGUAGGGGACGAGGAAAAGACGGUACCCUACGAGGAAGCUCCGGCUAACUACGUGCCAGCAGCCGCGGUAAUACGUAGGGAGCGAGCGUUGUCCGGAAUGACUGGGCGUAAAGGGCGCGUAGGCGGUUUUGUAAGUCUGGAGUGAAACCCCCGUUUUCAAGGCGGGGCCUGCUUUGGAGACUGCAGGACUUGAGUGAUGGAGAGGAUAGCGGAAUUCCCGGUGUAGCGGUGAAAUGCGUAGAGAUCGGGAGGAACACCAGUGGCGAAGGCGGCUAUCUGGACAUAGACUGACGCUGAGGCGCGAAAGCGUGGGGAGCAAACAGGAUUAGAUACCCUGGUAGUCCACGCUGUAAACGAUGGAU